rnacentral:rRNA from 1 species
AGCAGUAGCCGCGGUAAGACAGAGGAUGCAAGCGUUGCCCGGAAUUAUUGGGCGUAAAGGGCUCGCAGGCGGUUUCUUAAGUCUGAUGUGAGAGCCCCCGGCUCAACCGGGGAGGGUCAUUGGAAACUGGGAAACUUGAGUGCAGAAGAGGAGAGUGGAAUUCCACGUGUAGCGGUGAAAUGCGUAGAGAUGUGGAGGAACACCAGUGGCGAAGGCGAUUCUCUGGUCUGUAACUGACGCUGAGGAGCGAAAGCGUGGGGAGCGAACAGGAUUAGAUACCCGCGUAGUCCCUGUCUCUUAUAC